rnacentral:rRNA from 1 species
CCUACGGGAGGCAGCAGUAGGGAAUCUUUCACAAUGGGCGAAAGCCUGAUGGAGCAACGCCGCGUGCAGGAUGAAGGCCUUCGGGUUGUAAACUGCUUUUGUUAGAGAAGAUAAUGACGGUAUCUAACGAAUAAGCACCGGCUAACUCCGUGCCAGCAGCCGCGGUAAUACGGAGGGUGCAAGCGUUACUCGGAAUCACUGGGCGUAAAGAGCGCGUAGGCGGGAUAGCAAGUCAGAUGUGAAAUCCUAUGGCUUAACCAUAGAACUGCAUUUGAAACUGUUAUUCUAGAGUAUGGGAGAGGUAGGUGGAAUUCUUGGUGUAGGGGUAAAAUCCGUAGAGAUCAAGAGGAAUACUCAUUGCGAAGGCGACCUGCUAGAACAUAACUGACGCUGAUGCGCGAAAGCGUGGGGAGCAAACAGGAUUAGAUACCCUUGUAGUC